CGGGCGCUGACGCGCUUGGCGGCGGCAGGCGAGGGGGACCGGCGGUCCCCGGGGCUGAGGCUCCGGGCUGCGGGCCCCGCUCCGCGGCGGCGGCAGAUCUCGAUAGUAAUUCUGUAGGAGCAACAGAGCACAACUGCAGAGUGGAGAUUGUCUUUCUGGAUGCGAGUGAACCAGGAGGCUGGAUGCAAUGGAGAGUCUUGCAGGACAAUACAGAGCUGGUGUUUGAGCUGCAUUCCGCAGCCUACUACACCUUCCCAUCCCUCCACAUCCCCUUUGGACAAGCAACCCCGCCAACACCCCUUGCGGCUGCUGCCCGACACCCCUGCGGAGCAAAGAUGACUGAUGGGCUUUUAAUGAGCACGCUGCCGUCCAGGACACAAAUAUGGUUCUGCUCUGAGUCCUGAUGCUGCUCUGGCCCGUGCUGCCUGGGACUCGCGCUAUUAAUGGGGAAUGCGCGGGUGGCGUGUCGGCAUUGCGCAGGGGGCGAAUAAAAUAAAACCCGCUUCA